ACAAAUCUCAGCAUGCUUUGGGAGAGAAAAAAUGGCUGCUCAAAGAUGGACUACAAAUCCCGGCAUGCUUUGGGGGAAGUCAACAUGGCUGAUCCAUCACAGACUACAAAUCCCAGCAUGCUUUGCAGGGAACUGAAAUGGCUGAUCAUACAUAAACUACAAAUCCCAGCAUGUCUUGGGGGAGCCAAGAUGGCUGCCAUGGGCAGGAACUACAAUUCCCAGCAUGCCUUGGGGGGGGGUGUGUGUGUGUGUGUGUGUGUGUGUGUCCAUAUCCCAGCAUGCCCCUCCCUGCCCCAAGAUGGUGUCCCCCAUGGUGGCAGCCAUGUUGUGGGCGUGGUUUCCCCCGCAGUGCUGCUGCAGUUCCCGGAGCCAGCUCCUGAUUGGCUGGAGCCGCUCGGCCCCGCCUUCCUGACUCUCUCAGGGGCGGGGUCUGUGGAGCUCCUCCCCCCUGGGGCGGAGCCUGGGCCGGGCUGGGCGGGGGCUCCCGCGGGUUCCGGAACCUUCGUGCACCUGCGCAUCCAGGGCCUGGUGGACCCCGACGCCGCCCGGGCCCAGCAGCAGCACCAGGUUCGUUAACAGAGAGCCUUAAUUAGCACCGGAGCUUUAAUUAGCAGUGCUUAUUAGGCCAAGGGGGGAACGGCCUCGUUAGCGCUGCCCUGAUUAACGCUCAUUAAUAUUCAUUAAUAUUCAUUAACCCCUCCCUCCCCAGGCCCGAGAGGAGCUGGAGCGGAGCCUGGAGGGGCUGGAGACCCCCGGGGACCCCAAAGGGACCCCCAAAAACACCCCGGGACCCCCAGAGACCCCCGGGGACCCCCAAAAGGAGCCCCAGGUUAGAGGCAGCCAAGGAGUUCUUAAAUAAAUAAAUAAAUAAUUAUUUAUGAGCUAAAUAA
rnacentral:lncRNA from 1 species